rnacentral:rRNA from 1 species
UACGGGGGGGGGCAAGCGUUGUUCGGAAUUACUGGGCGUAAAGGGUUCGUAGGUGGCCAACUAAGCCAGACGUGAAAUCCCUCAGCUUAACUGGGGAACUGCGUCUGGGACUGGAUGGCUUGAGUGCAGGAGAGGAACGCGGAAUUCCAGGUGUAGCGGUGAAAUGCGUAGAUAUCUGGAGGAACACCGGUGGCGAAGGCGGCGUUCUGGACUGCAACUGACACUGAGGAACGAAAGCCAGGGGAGCAAACGGG